GCGCGGGUGGCGAAACUGGUAGACGCACUACUUUGAGGUGGUAGCGCCGCAAGGCAUGGAGGUUCAAAUCCUCUCCCGCGCACUA
rnacentral:tRNA from 1 species